UCACACCAACUCAAAAUACAAAGACUUCACUUAGAAGUCUUAUAAAAGUUUCUUCCUUAUUACUUUGAGCUUCGUCUUCUAGUCUUUUGGAGAAGUCCCCUAAAUUUAGAAUUACUCGUGAUUUUGUAAACCUCGAGGACACACAAACUCAUCGCUAGGACAUCAAGGUGAGACAAAGUACAAAUCCCGAAUCCUUGUUGAGAUACUUGAUGAGAUUUCUAAAAGUACUUUCUCAAAUUCAUUUCUAUGCUAAAUGUUUAUGUGCAUAUGUUUUUUAACACAAAUUGCUUGGUUUUAUACAUAUUGUCAUCCGCAUUACACUUUUGUUACAAAAUUUUACUAUCAAACACAAUGUAUUGCAAUACUAAAUUUUUCGCCACAUAAUUGGCUACAAAAAAAUCAUAUAUUUCUUGCUUUUAUACCUCCGGUUCAUGUACUUCAUGUUUUGUACCUCUAUUUCAUUUAUUUAUACUUUCAUUUCAUGUAUUUAUAUAUCCAUUUCAUGUAUUUCUAAGCAAAAGUUUUAGCCUCGGUUUGGUUUGGGCUAUUAACCGAUAUUAAACGAACCGAACCAAAAACCGUCAAUCUAACCGAAUAAACCAAACUGGUUAACCGAAAACAAAUUGGUUUAUAAAAUAGACCAACUGUUGACUUCGGUUUCGGCUUUAGUUGAGGAUUAUUACCGAACCAUGCACACUACAAUGAAAUAGACUGACCGAUGGCUUUACUAAUGACAUAUAUCCACCGGUGGAUGCUACAAUGAAUUCACAAAUAAGAAAAGUAGCAGAAAUAAAUACCACAACGCAAAGUAUCGUCUCCGCCGCAUUACGCGUAGUAUAAAAAUACACCUUAUUACAGUAACCCUCCCUCAAUUUUGAUUAAUUGAGUAAUUUCCCACCAUUAUUCAAAUUUAGAUUAUCAUCCGGCCCUAACCAGAUUAACUGUUCGAAUAUCUUCUAAUCAGAUUUCUAAAUGAUUUUUUUUUUUUUUUUUCAAUCAAAACCAAUUUCUCCCGGUAAAAUCUUAUCAUAUUCAGCAUUCAACUGUUUGCAAUCACAUUAAUUUUGCCCUGAUUUCAGAGAAAUUGCAUCCCCAAAUCCCAAAUAUUGUUGGUGAUUUGUAAAAUUCUUCAUUUUUCUUAAAUAAGUACCAAUUUGGUGAAGUUAGGGUUUGGUGAAAAGUGUAUAAUAAUAAUUCAAACAAGAUUUUGAAAUCUUUUUAAUUAAUAAGAGAUUAUUAUGUGUGAAUGUUGGUGUGAUUUUUUGCACACAACAUUGGGUGAAAUGGGGAAGAUAGAUUAAGAAACCUAUGGGCGUGAUAAGGGUCCGGCUUUUCGGUAUUUUUCUAGCUGUUUUUUGCAUGUUUGUGACCGGUUGUUGUGGAGGUAGUCGCAGAAUCGCCAAGGAAGAUUUUUCUCAAGAUACUGCAGAGAAAGUAUGGAUGUGUUGUAGGAAAGAGCUUGAAGAAAUCACCAAAACUGUUAAACAUUUUAACCAAUACUCAAACCGUAACCCAAAACUAUCGAAAAGAAUCCUAAAACGGUCUCUUUUGCUGUAUUUGAAGUCUAAAAGAUCUCCAUCGAGUAUUUCCGGCAGAGAUGAAUGUGAAGAAUGUAUAUCUAAACUCUAUAAUCAAAAUAUCCAAUCCGGAAACUUUCACAAAAGACGUUACCGUUACCAUCAAAGAAGAAAGGCACGCCCACAUGGGUCAUUGAGCUCUGCCCGAAAAGAUUCUAUAGUAGUAGAAAAACCUGCAAAUGGCGUAGAUGUGAAGCCCCCUGAUCAUGUGAUACUGAUAGGGAUCGCUGUUUCGACUGCAGUGGCGUCACUGGCCCUUUUUGUCCUGUUAUUAUUUUGUUGUCUUGGAGGCGAUGAGCGCAAAGUGGGAUCUGAGUUUGAAGAAAAGGACGAGAAACCCGUUGUUGACAUACACCCAGGUCACGUUUCUGGUUCUUCUCAAACAUCCCAGGCAUUCGAAGGCAAUAACGAUUCGAUCAAUUCCUCGAGCACAAACAAUUUAUCUGGCAAUGCUGCUUCUCAAACACCAGAAGUUGGAAAACUACCACUUCCGCCAGGAAGAAGCGCUCCUCCACCACCGGCACCACCUAAACCGCCCGCCCCAAAAGCACCACCACCGCCACCAACCCCAGGUGCUCGCCCGCCUGCUCCACCAAAAGCAGGCAAUAUGAAAAGACCACCUGGCCCACCACGUGCACCUGCCGCUUCUGGAGACGAAAACGAUCCGUCUGCGAGCUCUAAUAGCUCCAAAACCAAGUUAAAGCCGCUCUUUUGGGACAAGAUGAACACUAGUCCUAAUUCAUCGAUGGUUUGGAAUGAAGUUAAGGCGGGAUCAUUCCAAUUAGACGAAGAGAUGAUGGAAAGUCUCUUUGGAUUUGCUUCUGCCCAAUGCAAGGGUAAUCGUGGGAAACCCGCAUCAACCGCCAACUCUCAACCGAAGCUUAUUCAGAUUAUUGAUCCCAGAAAAGCACAGAAUUUGGCCAUUACUCUAAAAGCAUUGACCGUUACAGCUGAAACAGUCUGUAAUGCCCUCAAGGAAGGUACUGACCUUCCGGUACAGCUGAUUUCAACUCUGAUAAAAAUGCCACCGACCCAAGAAGAAGAAGUAAAACUGCGGUUAUAUGACGGGGACUUUGGACUUCUUGGGCCUGCUGACCAGUUACUUAAACUCAUGAUCGAAAUCCCGUUUGUGUAUAAACGUCUUGAAGCUUUGUUGUUCAUGAGUUCUCUUCAUGAAGAAUCUUCUCCACUUAAAGAAUCCUUUGCCACAUUAGAGGUAGCUUGCACAAAGUUGAAGAACAGCAGACUGUUCCUCAAACUUCUAGAAGCAGUUUUGAAGACGGGUAACCGUAUGAACGUAGGAACAUAUCGUGGUGGGGCCCAGGCUAUCAAGCUCGACACUCUUUUAAAGCUCUCAGACGUUAAAGGUACAGACGGCAAGACCACACUCUUAACUUUCGUGGUUCAAGAAAUCAUCCGGUCAGAAGGAAUGAAAACUGCCCCAAGUAAAAACAAUAACACCGAUAAAGAAACAACCGAAGAACAAUCACCUGAAUAUUACUGGAAACUGGGCCUCGAGGUUGUUUCGCAGCUAAGCAACGAGCUGCGAGACGUGAAGAAAGCUGCAGUGAUUGACGGUGAUUACAUUACGUCAACGGUUUUGAAACUAGGAAACAUGUUAAACAAAACGAAAGACUUAAUAAAGAAUGAGUUGAAUACGUACGAAGAAGCGAUGGAGUUUUGUGAAGCGUUCAAUGGUUUUAUGGAGCGUGCGGAAACCGAGAUCACGUGGAUGCUUGAAGAGGAGAAGAGGAUAAUGGCUCUGGUCAAGAGCACAGGAGAUUAUUUCCAUGGGAACUCAGCGAAAGACGAAGGGAUUCGGUUGUUUGUCAUCGUUCGAGACUUCUUGAAACUUUUGGACAAAGUGUGUACUGAAAUAAAGAAAACAACUGAGAUGAACAGCAAAAAGAGAAACGUGCCGGAUGGUAAGAAAGAAUCUUUGUCGCAAGAAACCCGACAGCAAAAGUGGUCGAAUAUUCGUGAUAAGUUGUUUCCGGCUUUGAAAGACCGAAAGAUAGAUUAUUCGAGUUCAGAUGAUGAGGACAUGUCUCCUUAGUUUUCUGUGUGUGCUUCAAACAGGUUUGGUGCAUUGAUAGACCACCUAUAUUCCACAACAUUUGGGACCAAUAACGACUUAACUUUCAGAAACUAGCGACGACUCGCGACCACCCGACAUGUUUGUAAAUCCAUUCAGCGGCGACAAACAUUCUAAGAAGCAAUUUGGAGGCAAUAUUUAACACCAAUACUGUGCACAGUCCCCCUCCUUUCUCUGGGUUGUUAAACUCGGGUUUAAUAUUGUCUAGCAACUAUAAAGUUGUGGCCCAAGGCUUCGGGUUUAUUGAUGUGUUGGAUAUUUGUGGCAUGUGUCCAUGUUUCGCAUGGUAUAGAAUAGGGGUCUAUACUCGAUGCAGUGUUGUCUUGAAACUAGUUAAACUCGAAGCAGUGUGGGUACUGCUGGAUGUGAGCAUGAUAAUGUGCACGGAUUAUGAAUUUAUACUUUCGUCAAAUACUUUAAAAAAAAAUUGUCAAUAAA